CGCUGGCGGCGGGCCUUAUGCAUGCAAGUCGAACGCACUCGACCUUCGGGUCAUAUGAGUGAGUGGCGAACGGGUGAGUAACACGUGAGAAACCUGCCCCGAAGACUGGAAUAACCCGGGGAAACUCGGGCUAAUACCGGAUACCCCCAACUAAUCGCAUGGUUAGUUGAGGAAAUGCUCCGGCGCUUCGGGAGGGUCUCGCGGCCUAUCAGCUAGUUGGUGAGGUAACGGCUCACCAAGGCAACGACGGGUAGCUGGUCUGAGAGGACGAUCAGCCACACUGGGACUGAGACACGGCCCAGACUCCUACGGGAGGCAGCAGCAGGGAAUCUUGCGCAAUGGGCGAAAGCCUGACGCAGCCACGCCGCGUGAGGGAUGAAGGCUCUAGGGUCGUAAACCUCUUUCAGCAGGGAAGAAAAUGACGGUACCUGCAGAAGAAGCUCCGGCCAACUACGUGCCAGCAGCCGCGGUAACACGUAGGGAGCGAGCGUUGUCCGGAUUUAUUGGGCGUAAAGAGCUCGUAGGCUGUUCAGUAAGUCAGGUGUGAAAACUCGAGGCUCAACCUCGAGACGCCACCUGAAACUGCUGUGACUAGAGUCCGGUAGGGGAGUGUGGAAUUCCUGGUGUAGCGGUGAAAUGCGCAGAUAUCAGGAGGAACACCAGCAGCGAAGGCGGCACUCUGGGCCGGUACUGACGCUCAGGAGCGAAAGCAUGGGGAGCGAACAGGAUUAGAUACCCUGGUAGUCCAUGCCGUAAACGUUGGGCACUAGGUGUGGGAUUUAACUAACAAAUUCCGUGCCGUAGCUAACGCAUUAAGUGCCCCGCCUGGGGAGUACGGCCGCA
rnacentral:rRNA from 1 species